UCUUUUUUUUUCCUACGGUUUUCAUGGGUUCUCCCUCUCUCACACUCUCCCCCCUUCUCUCCCUCCCCUUCUUGUUUUUGUUCCUAGGACGGGAUGGGCGUUAAUUUUGUGUUUCACAUCCCGCGCUUUGAAGUCGUUCUCCCGAUGCUCCUCACUGCCUCCAGCCUCUGCCAAUACAUACAAAAAGCACGCUGCGCAACAUCAAGGGGAAGCGCGCUCUUUCAAGGGCGCGCCAGGUCACUUGGAGAGAUAAAACACGUUUGACAAGUGAAGAACAAGGCAAGUGCUUUAGAGGUCGCGUCCAAUUCCUGACCUGGACUCCCGCUAGAACAAGGACUGAUCCUGGAAAAGGGAUUGCUGGGGGGACAGGAAAGAACUUUCACUUUCUUUUGUGGUUGAGUCUGCUGAACCUACCAACAUGUGUAUGUUUGAAACACAGUCCCCACCCCCAAACUAAUGUGUCAGUGUCAGUUCAUGCUCUAAUAUUAGUAGCUCGGGUUGGCAUUUUCUCCUAGAUCUUUUCCCUUCAAACCAGUCCCUUUUUAAAUUCUGAAGUCACAGAAAUAUAUGCAAGGUCUCUUUUAAAAGCCACUUUUCUCUUUGAAAUGCGGUGCAUGGAUCAACCCACCACCAUCCUUGAGCCGUGUGUGUGUAGAGGAUAAAGUUAAAAUGAACAAUGUUUUAAAUUCCUUGUGUUUGCUAUUUUGCCCUAAAACAUUUCUGUAUUUCUCAAAAUGUGAUUACUGAAAUUGGAAGGGGAGAAAAGUCUUUGUUCGUGUAUUUCCCCGAAAAGAUGUUAAAACCAGUGGGGUCAUUUUAUGCAAGAGUGAAAAUUAGAGGACCGGGGAAACCCUGCCCAAGAAAAUGAUCUUGCAGCAGGAUUGACGAGACCCGCAACUUGUCCGUAAGGUCUCUUGGAAAUGACUUAAAUCUGCCCCAGGUUUUCCCCCGGUUCUUUCUUUUGUUGUCAAGUCCAAUUGAUAAAUGGAGUGCAGUAAAACUCUGGAAUAAAAAAAAAGCUGAAACCUUCA